UAAACAUGAGAGGAAUUAGAAAUUGUUAAUUUAUGGUAAAUAAUCUCUUUUUGUUUGCAAAAAAGUAUAUCCGUUAAUAUGGACUGCAUUUCAUUUUAUGCACAGAUUUUCAUUCAAAUCGCAGUCAAAAGAAAAAAAAUAUAUAUAUGUAUAAUUGAUUUUCAGGCAAGUACUAUUGACACCAAUGUUGUCGUGCUGCCACCACUGUACAGUAUAUUGUUCAUAGUCCAUAUUAUAUACUUCAGUUGGUGCUCAUAUAAAAAAUGUUAUCCUCCUUUCUAUAAUUACAGAUUUCCAUCUUGUUUUCUC
rnacentral:lncRNA from 1 species